GCCCCGCGCCGGCACCGCGGCCAGAGGAAGGUGCUGCCGGGCGGGCCCGGCUCCGGCACACACACGCACACACACACACACGCACACACAGCCGCACUCGCUCGCGCACCCCUCGCCAUCGCCCCCCCGGCCCCUUCGCCUGGCUCCGUGCCUCGCCGGAGCAGCCCGGGAGGGGAGGAAGAGGAGGAGGAGAGGCAGGCGGCACACUCACCCGAGCCGUCGCUCCCGCGCACGGGGCCGCAGAGCAGGAAGGCGCCUGCGAACAGACAGACAGACAGAUGGACGGACGGCGGAUCGGGUCGGGUCGGAGCACGGCUCUGCGCCUGCCCCGCCACCCGCGUCGGAGUUGGGGAUGCUGAUCUUUGGGAUGAGACCCAAGACAUACUUCCAAGCAUUUCAAAUCCUGUUUCGGCACCUGGCAUUUCCAGUCUGUGGACUCAUCUGUCUGUUCAAUCAAGAAGCCAGAGGUAUUGAUUCCCAUCUCGGAGACACACAUUUCUUAGAGAAAUACAUAGCUUUCGGAAAAAUACAGAAGACAAAAUGCUAGUAACAGUCUCCUUCAGAUGCACAUCAGUGAAAACUGGAAACCAGGCUUUCUCUCAACUUAGGAACUCCUCACCAGUGUGGCUGGUACCUGACAGGGAAGAAGGUGAUUGAGGAGAUGCCAGUCGUCUCUUCCUUAAUUGUUGUGGAAUAACUGAAGGCGGGAAGCCGCAGCGGAAAAGCUGGACCACGCAGCCGGAGGUGGGAGGGAGCAGCUGAAGCCAACGUGUUGUGGUCCUGUGCCGGUAGUCCCAACAACACGAUGGGCUCUGCUGUCAUCAACGCCUUCGCACGUAUGGUUCUGAUCCAAUUCCUUCCGAAAGCAGGAGGCUUCUUUAUGCUGAUGUUAAUCAGGGGCUCUAGGAAGGUGGCCUUUUCCUCACCUUGACUCACUAAAAACUGCAAAGGCUGGGUGGUUGGUGUUGGAUUUUUUUUCUCUGAGAAUGUUUUGCUCUAUAUUUCCUAAUUAAUAAUUCUACAAUUGUGUGAACCACUCUUUUUCAUACUCACUUAUUGGAUUGUUUGUGCUGAUUGAAUAUUCUCAUAUUAAAUGAGAAAUCUGAAAUAAGAAAAUGAGCAACUGAGGAUACUCUGCCAUAAACCCACACAAAAUGCACUUCUGAUUUGAAUGCAUGACUAAAGCAGAUGUCUUUUAAAAAUAAUACAAGUUUUUGGAUGUGUUUAAGAUAUUUGAAAUCUCAGCUGAGUGAGUUUUUAUGUCAGUGAUUUUUUUCCUGUUUCUGAAUAAAAAAAUGGACUAGAUAAAAAUAAGCUUUUUUUUUUUUUUGAAUAUUUAUUUGGUCACUCAUACUAAUUUGGUCUGUUUUUUGGCAUAGUUACUCUCUUGAGCUGGGACUGUUAUGUCUUGCAUGUCACAAGUGUCACAUGACAGAGUAUUUGCCUAGUAUUAAAAUUGGAAAUAGUUAUGGAUAUUCCAUUUGGUAGGGAAUGGAAAGCUUGCAAAUGUGUGGGAACAGGGAACUUGAAUUCACUCAGUUUGAGUGGGCCCUUAGCAAGCAAUGGGUGCCCUCCAGCCUGACUGGCUAGAGGGACUUAAAAACUGCUGUACAAGUCAAAAGCAUGGGUCUCAAAGAAAAAGAAGUAGAGGGAGAUGCAUCUCAUUUCAUUCUGUGUAUGAAAACAUAUCUAGUCUUUUAUUUUUUCCCUGCUAACUCAGUAAUU